rnacentral:rRNA from 1 species
AGCGUACACGGUGGAUGCCCUGGCAGUCAGAGGCGAUGAAGGACGUGCUAAUCUGCGAUAAGCGUCGGUGAGGUGAUAUGAACCGUUAUAACCGGCGAUUUCCGAAUGGGGAAACCCAGUGUGUUUCGACACACUAUCAUUAACUGAAUCCAUAGGUUAAUGAGGCGAACCGGGGGAACUGAAACAUCUAAGUACCCCGAGGAAAAGAAAUCAACCGAGAUUCCCCCAGUAGCGGCGAGCGAACGGGGAGGAGCCCAGAGCCUGAAUCAGUGUGUGUGUUAGUGGAAGCGUCUGGAAAGGCGCGCGAUACAGGGUGACAGCCCCGUACACAAAAAUGCACAUACUGUGAGCUCGAUGAGUAGGGCGGGACACGUGGUAUCCUGUCUGAAUAUGGGGGGACCAUCCUCCAAGGCUAAAUACUCCUGACUGACCGAUAGUGAACCAGUACCGUGAGGGAAAGGCGAAAAGAACCCCGGCGAGGGGAGUGAAAAAGAACCUGAAACCGUGUACGUACAAGCAGUGGGAGCCUCUUAAUGGGGUGACUGCGUACCUUUUGUAUAAUGGGUCAGCGACUUAUAUUCUGUAGCAAGGUUAACCGAAUAGGGGAGCCGAAGGGAAACCGAGUCUUAACUGGGCGUUAAGUUGCAGGGUAUAGACCCGAAACCCGGUGAUCUAGCCAUGGGCAGGUUGAAGGUUGGGUAACACUAACUGGAGGACCGAACCGACUAAUGUUGAAAAAUUAGCGGAUGACUUGUGGCUGGGGGUGAAAGGCCAAUCAAACCGGGAGAUAGCUGGUUCUCCCCGAAAGCUAUUUAGGUAGCGCCUCGUGAAUUCAUCUCCGGGGGUAGAGCACUGUUUCGGCAAGGGGGUCAUCCCGACUUACCAACCCGAUGCAAACUGCGAAUACCGGAGAAUGUUAUCACGGGAGACACACGGCGGGUGCUAACGUCCGUCGUGAAGAGGGAAACAACCCAGACCGCCAGCUAAGGUCCCAAAGUCAUGGUUAAGUGGGAAACGAUGUGGGAAGGCCCAGACAGCCAGGAUGUUGGCUUAGAAGCAGCCAUCAUUUAAAGAAAGCGUAAUAGCUCACUGGUCGAGUCGGCCUGCGCGGAAGAUGUAACGGGGCUAAACCAUGCACCGAAGCUGCGGCAGCGACGCUUAUGCGUUGUUGGGUAGGGGAGCGUUCUGUAAGCCUGUGAAGGUGGCCUGUGAGGGUUGCUGGAGGUAUCAGAAGUGCGAAUGCUGACAUAAGUAACGAUAAAGCGGGUGAAAAGCCCGCUCGCCGGAAGACCAAGGGUUCCUGUCCAACGUUAAUCGGGGCAGGGUGAGUCGACCCCUAAGGCGAGGCCGAAAGGCGUAGUCGAUGGGAAACAGGUUAAUAUUCCUGUACUUGGUGUUACUGCGAAGGGGGGACGGAGAAGGCUAUGUUGGCCGGGCGACGGUUGUCCCGGUUUAAGCGUGUAGGCUGGUUUUCCAGGCAAAUCCGGAAAAUCAAGGCUGAGGCGUGAUGACGAGGCACUACGGUGCUGAAGCGACAAAUGCCCUGCUUCCAGGAAAAGCCUCUAAGCAUCAGGUAACAUUAAAUCGUACCCCAAACCGACACAGGUGGUCAGGUAGAGAAUACCAAGGCGCUUGAGAGAACUCGGGUGAAGGAACUAGGCAAAAUGGUGCCGUAACUUCGGGAGAAGGCACGCUGAUAUGUAGGUGAAGCGACUUGCUCGUGGAGCUGAAAUCAGUCGAAGAUACCAGCUGGCUGCAACUGUUUAUUAAAAACACAGCACUGUGCAAACACGAAAGUGGACGUAUACGGUGUGACGCCUGCCCGGUGCCGGAAGGUUAAUUGAUGGGGUUAGCGGUAACGCGAAGCUCUUGAUCGAAGCCCCGGUAAACGGCGGCCGUAACUAUAACGGUCCUAAGGUAGCGAAAUUCCUUGUCGGGUAAGUUCCGACCUGCACGAAUGGCGUAAUGAUGGCCAGGCUGUCUCCACCCGAGACUCAGUGAAAUUGAACUCGCUGUGAAGAUGCAGUGUACCCGCGGCAAGACGGAAAGACCCCGUGAACCUUUACUAUAGCUUGACACUGAACAUUGAGCCUUGAUGUGUAGGAUAGGUGGGAGGCUUUGAAGUGUGGACGCCAGUCUGCAUGGAGCCGACCUUGAAAUACCACCCUUUAAUGUUUGAUGUUCUAACGUGGGCCCCUUACCGGGGUUGCGGACAGUGUCUGGUGGGUAGUUUGACUGGGGCGGGCUCCUCCUAAAGAGUAACGGAGGAGCACGAAGGUUGGCUAAUCCUGGUCGGACAUCAGGAGGUUAGUGCAAUGGCAUAAGCCAGCUUGACUGCGAGCGUGACGGCGCGAGCAGGUGCGAAAGCAGGUCAUAGUGAUCCGGUGGUUCUGAAUGGAAGGGCCAUCGCUCAACGGAUAAAAGGUACUCCGGGGAUAACAGGCUGAUACCGCCCAAGAGUUCAUAUCGACGGCGGUGUUUGGCACCUCGAUGUCGGCUCAUCACAUCCUGGGGCUGAAGUAGGUCCCAAGGGUAUGGCUGUUCGCCAUUUAAAGUGGUACGCGAGCUGGGUUUAGAACGUCGUGAGACAGUUCGGUCCCUAUCUGCCGUGGGCGCUGGAGAACUGAGGGGGGCUGCUCCUAGUACGAGAGGACCGGAGUGGACGCAUCACUGGUGUUCGGGUUGUCAUGCCAAUGGCACUGCCCGGUAGCUAAAUGCGGAAGAGAUAAGUGCUGAAAGCAUCUAAGCACGAAACUUGCCCCGAGAUGAGUUCUCCCUGACUCCUUGA